AAAACGACUCUCGGCAACGGAUAUCUCGGCUCUCGCAUCGAUGAAGAACGUAGCGAAAUGCGAUACUUGGUGUGAAUUGCAGAAUCCCGUGAACCAUCGAGUCUUUGAACGCAAGUUGCGCCCGACGCCUUCGGGCCGAGGGCACGUCUGCCUGGGUGUCACGC
rnacentral:rRNA from 1 species